AGGUGCGGGAAGGGUGCGGGUUGGGGGUGGGUGACUCGCGAGUCAUCCUUUCGCAGGGAGGCUCCGCUCCGCUCCCGUCCACCGGUUCCGCCGCCCUCCAUCCUCCGGAUCCCGUCCACUGCCCUCCUCGCCGGCCAUCCUCCCCGUCGCCAGUCAUCCUUGCAAGGCCGCAGGGCGCAGACCGCCCUCCUCACCGGCCGGCCGCGCUGACUGCCCUCCGGCGCCGACCGCCCUCCUCGCUGGUCGUCCGCCCUACCCGCCGGCCUGUCCCGCCCCUCCGCUCCAAGACUCCAGUCAGGGCCAAAAGACUUCCCCGAUCCAGUGCUUCAUCAAGCGAAACAAGAAGAACUCUAAGUUUUAUCUGUACCUUGGGUUGAGAAACUGAUCUUAGGAAGAAGGUUCCCAUCCUUUAUCUUUGGUAUGCUGAGAUGGAGAUAACAGCGUCCACUUCAAGAAGCAACGUCAUUCCAUCCUUCGCCAGCUGAAUCUUCAGCAGUUAUUCAAGGUGAAACUGCCCCUCUGGUUCAGGUCGGUUGGUUAGGCAGUUCGGACCGGCGGCGCGGCCAUGGCUUCCAACAGCAUCGUCCCCAGAGGUCUGGAAAGAUGAGGCGUCCUCAAUUCCUCAGUCUCAGCACUCUGGGUGUAUUUGAAGCACGCUGCUAAGUUCUGGAACCAUUUGUUGGCAUGUUGUUGGUGUUCUUCUGGUGUUUACUAGGCAGCCAUGAAGUGAAAGUCUCAGCAUUGUCAGUGAGGCAUAAAGUAUACGAUGGAGUAUACGACGGGUCUCGCUGCUCGUAUCGCGCUUCUGGAGCUCAUGCUAGGCGUUGCGGCCUCUGGUGUGGAUCGAACCUGUCGACCCUUUGGUUCUUUGGGUCAUCAUCCAUUAACCAUUAGCUGAUUUGUAGUUUACAUUAGGGGCCGCUUGGAUUAUUUUCAUGGAUCGGUUCGAUGAUCCAAUGGAUCGAACCGUACCACGCCCAUCCUUAUGUAACAUAUACCUCAAAUAUGUGAGCGUGAGCUAGCAAUGCUGUCUAGUUUGAAAGUCCUUAUAUUCCAAUUUACUAUGUGUCAUUCAACAAUAUAGUGAUUAUGUAGUGCUGAAAUGCAGAACUUGGGAUGUAGAUCAGAGAAUGGGUGCAACUGCAAGGAGAAUAGAUUUAACAUCACAACAUCAGUGGUCAUAACAAGAUCCAUUAACCAAUCAGUGGUCAUAACAAGAUCCAUUAACCACUCAAGGUUCACAAAAGCCUUUAGUUGCAGCUUACUACUAUCCACCUCACUAUUUACAUUUCACUACAUUAUGUACAGUCAUCCAACUGUUGCCAUGCGCCCAAACUUGCCACCACCAACUGAUGAUCCAAUCUCGUCCUUGCACCUCCCUGCCCCUGCACUAACCUCCACUCUUCCACCACCGUUGCUACCCCCACCACCACGGCCUUUACCUUUGCGUGGGCUAGCACACUUCCUGCAGAUGAAAUUUUCAGGGACUUCUUCAAAAUCACUGAUCCCUGAGCACCUGGUGUGCUGCCAGACUCCACACACGUCACAUGCUAGCAUACGUUCACCAUCAUCAUCCUUGGCACCACAUGAGCAGUCCACAGUCCAGUUCUCCAAACCCCUCUCCAUCCUAAACUGUACAAUCCUCCGAUAAUCUCCAGUGCAACGUCCCCUUAACCGAACAAGGUGGCCUGAUCCAAGCACAUGCUUCACAGGGGUUGUGUCACUGAAGUUUGGCAAGUCAGGGAGCUGUUCAGCCUGGAAGCUUUGGAACAUGAGGUACGUCUCUUGAAAUGCCCUUGAAGCCUGCACUUUCAAUUCAGCAAGAGUAGCACUUGCUGGUAAAUGUACAAGUUCCUCUGGAGGUGCUGUGUAGUCUUUUGGGUGAUCAAGUAGCUCAAUGGAGCACCUUACGCAGAGCAAAAAUGGGUUUGAAGGAAUUCUUAGAGCAUGUUCGUCAUAAUGCUUGAUGAACUGUUUGCAAUCAAUAAUCUUUGCUGCUGCACUAUGUGAUGAUGCACCCACCACCUCCGGUUGUGAAGAUAGCAUGGAUUCUGGGUUGAGCAGAGCGUCGUAGAGGAAUCUAAGAUCAUGCAGGACAUGUUCAACAGAAGGCUCAAACAUCAGUGCAUCAACUGGUGACCGAAUGGAGGAAGAUUCCAGCCUGCUUGUCAUGAAAUAAGUGGUCAAGAAAACUACGAGACAAAGUUUAGGUAUCAAAAAGGGAAGGAACAAGACUCACCUGUACUCAAUUGCAUUUAUCUCAGCAUUGCAGCGGACAGCAACGAAAUGGCCAUCAUCCAGUUGUUUUCCACCUAGUUCUCGAAGAGAAUAAUCAAGCAGCUCCUGUGAAUCAACAGCCUUUGACACAGCACCCCUAAGCGCACGCCAAGAUACCCAUUGUCCAGUUUGCACAACUCGGAGAACCUUAAGCAUUGCGGCUUCUGCUCGAUCAAGAUCAUCUUUAGUCCAUGCACAAAGCACAUUAGAUGCAAGAUCCACGCGCUUAUAAGUUGAGGGUUUUGACAUCUGAGCUUGAUGAAGCAGGUGCAUAAUGAAGCGGAAAAGGUCCCGGAGGGUCACCAGUUGGCGAUCAGAGAGUGCCCAAUAAAGAGCAAUUGUGUUCUGCAGUGGAGUCCUGAUAGGGCUACGGUUGGAGAAGUACAGUGCCAGUUGUAUAUUGGAAAGCAUGUCUACUGCCGUUCCGUAGGUGUCUGAGGUUAGUGCAAAGCUGCCAGCACCAAACUUGUAUCCCCAUUCACCAUACCAUGGGUGCCCACUUGUGACUGCAUGCAGAAGUCUGUAGUCCAUUCCAUGUUUCUUGGAGAUGUCCAUGACAGUGACCUUCCUGCAGUGAUAGAAAUGAUAGGUUGAAGGAAGUAUUUUGGAUAAAUGUCAAUUCCAAUCAAAGAUUGCUGCUGUUCUGCUCCUUUCAUUUACCUCACAUAUAACACCUUGCACAAGCGAUCCCAUAAGCUCAUUAUGUCACGGCCAGUGAGGACUCUUGAGCCACCUUCACGGCCAUUUACCCUGAGGAGGUGCCCAUACCCGUUGGCAUGCACUACAGCGUGCAGCAAGUGAGAGGAGUCAUCCACGUGCAGCGACCAUGGGAGUCCCGCAGCGCAGGCAGCAGGUGCGCCGGUGGCCGGAGAGCUGGUUGCAGUCGUUCUCGAUGAUGAAAUGGUACCGCUUCCCGCAGACUGGGUGCCCACUCCAUCCUGCAACCAAACAAACGCAUCAGACACAAGAUUCCAUUGCAGAUGCUGUAUUGCUGUAUGCUAACAGUAUAUGACAAGAAAGAUUGAAUCAAUCAUGGUUAUGCAUGUGAAAGCAACAUCCCAACAAUUCGCUGACAAGACGAAA